UGGGGCGUGGCCGAGUGGUAAGGCGGCGGGCUUUGGUCCCGUACAGUCGAAGGUUCGAAACCUUUCGCCCCAG
rnacentral:tRNA from 1 species